rnacentral:lncRNA from 1 species
CACCUUUUUACUUUUCCCUUAAAACUUUUACUCCUUCCAUUUUCCCCCCAAAACUUUUACUCCUCUCCCCUCCCAACCCCCCAAUCUACCCAAAAUUCAUUUCCCACCAAAAUUUUACUCUUCCAUUUACUUUUUCUCAAAAUUUUACUCCCAAAAACCCUCAAAAACUUUUAUUUUCCCCCAAAAUUUUUACUCCCUCCCACUUUUCCCCUAAAACUUUUAUUCCCUUCCCAUCCCACCUCUCAUCUACCCCAAACCCUCCCCCCUCCAAUUUUUUUUCAUAUUUUCCCUCCAAAAUUUUGCUCCCCUAUUUACUUUUCCUCAAACUUUUAUUCCCCAAAACUUUUUAUUUUCCCCCU